rnacentral:rRNA from 1 species
UACAGAGGGUGCGAGCGUUAAUCGGAAUUACUGGGCGUAAAGCGCGCGUAGGCGGUUUUGCAAGUCGGGUGUGAAAUCCCCAGGCUUAACCUGGGAACUGCAUUCGAGACUGCAUUACUAGAGUAUGGGAGAGGGAAGUGGAAUUUCCGGUGUAGCGGUGAAAUGCGUAGAUAUCGGAAGGAACAUCAGUGGCGAAGGCGGCUCGCUGGACUGGUAUUGACGCUGAGGUGCGAAAGCGUGGGGAGCAAACAGG